ACAAACUCUCUCACGACUAACAGGGGAUUUGCUAACUCCAUUAAAAUCUCUCAAACUUUCCCACGACUACCCCUGUUCGUAUUGAACCCUAGAAUAUAAAUUUUUUCGACAUAAUCUCUAGCAAACUAAUCUCUUUAAUCUCUGUAUGACAUCUUGCUGACAAGUCCAAGAAGAUGAGUUUAUGAGACCCUGGAUUCCUUGUUUAUGCUAAUGAUAUAUUGAGAAGAUUAGUCCAAAGCAGAGAAGCAGGAAGAAUUAGAUUUUCGGGGUUCUCAAGCAGAAUGGCUUGUGGUAGCCUGAAGAUUCGCAUUGCUAGAGUAUGAGAGAUCCAUCCCUUUUAUCUUUAAGUGAAAUUGAGUACACUUAAAAGUUUGAGGCAGCUGACCUAAAAUUUGUGGUGGGGAUGAAAGUGGAAAGUACUGGAGGUCUUAUAUUAUAUUGCCAGCGAGCGGGGCAGUUGCAAGCGUACAUUGACAAGCAGCAACAUGGAAACUAGGACAGAGGUUGAUUUUCUUCGGUCGUCGUCUGAUACUUUUCAUGGUACGCUAGUUAGAGUAUGGGUCAAUCUUGAAGUGCUUACAUAUGGUACUCUGCUUAUGUUAUUAUAAAUACUGAUUAGUGGACAUCUUGUUACUUGUUCAUCAUGCAAGUAUGAAUUUGGUACUUGCAGUUUCAAAUCUAUACGUUUUGGAUUUAGGAAAUAUCAUUAGUGCACUAUAGUCAACACUAAAGGCACCUAUGAAACUGGUGGAUCCAUAAAGUAAAAUUCUGUGUAAUACAGACUAUACAGUUUGUUUAACUUUUCUCUUUUGCAUGGGCAAGCGGCAUCCUAGCGACAGUUUGGAGGAGCUCUUGCAGUGUGAGUGAGGACAUGCAUCUGCAGUAAACAAGACCUAGAGUAGUCACGCCCUUUCUUCUGUCCGAUGCGGAUGCGUUUACAUGUUUUGACACUUACUGAUUAUAUUGAUGUCUUUGUUAUUAACUCUAGUAGAAUUCAUAUAUCGUUGAUUUGGUUCUACGUAUGGAUUUCUGUUUUGUAGUUUGAUUCUUCACAAGACUAAACUUUGUGUUGUUGCACUUGCUCCAUUCAAGGCUUACGAAGGAAACUUCUGGGGUGCCAAAACAAUCCCAAGCACAGCAUGAGAUGCUCAACAUGCUGAAGCCAUGGCUCUUCUUGCAGCCAUACUAUGGGCUAGCGAGCUGGAACUACAGUUUACUUCGUACGGGACUGGAGCUAUUACCAACUCUAUCAAUGCUUCUAAGUCUAGUGUUUAGCGGACUACUAUCGUUCUGAAGAUGAAUGCUAUGCUAUUAGUGUUCAAAUCAGCAUAGUUAACCAUUGUUAUAGUGGUUUCUGUCAUGUUUUUUGGAUUUUUGGUGUAGUUAAUGUUGAUAGUAUUGAAUAUUCGAAAUAAAAUAGUCUUCAGGUUUCUGUGCAUGGACAUGAAUCAAUUUAUUUUGCAACAUUUGAUUAAGUCUUAUUUGGAAUAAAAUUUCUGUUAAU